UACAGAGGGUGCAAGCGUUAAUCGGAAUUACUGGGCGUAAAGCGCGCGUAGGUGGUUCGUUAAGUUGGAUGUGAAAUCCCCCGGGCUCAACCUGGGAACUGCAUUCAAGACUGUCGAGCUAGAGUAUGGUAGAGGGUGGUGGAAUUUCCUGUGUAGCGGUGAAAUGCGUAGAUAUAGGAAGGAACACCAGUGGCGAAGGCGACCACCUGGACUGAUACUGACACUGAGGUGCGAAAGCGUGGGGAGCAAACAGG
rnacentral:rRNA from 1 species